UCAGACGAUGCGUCAUGCAUAUCAAUAAGCGGAGGAAAAGAAACUAUCAAGGAUUCCCUCAGUAACGGCGAGUGAAGCGGGAAGAGCUCAAAUUUGAAAUCUUGAAAGGGUUCACCUUUCACGAAUUGUAGUUUAAAGAAGUGUUUUCUGUUGAGGAUUUGGUAAUAAGUUCUUUGGAAUAGGACAUCAUAGAGGGUGAGAAUCUCGUAUGAUUGACCGAUUAGUUCAGCUUUGUGAUACACUUUCAAAGAGUCGGAUUGUUUGGGAAUGCAGUCCCAAAAUGGGAUGGUAAAUUUCAUCUAGGCUAAAUAUUGGCGAGAGACCGAUAGCGAACAAGUACCGUGAGGGAAAGAUGAAAAGAACUUUGAAAAGAGAGUUAAAUAAGUACGUGAAAUUGUCAAAAGGGAAGCGUUUAACACCAGUGUUGUUUUCUGAAAAUCAACCUCUGUUAGCUUUAUGCAUGUUUGUUUAGACCUAAUCAGCUAUCUUGCAUGUUCUAUUGUUUGCAGUGGUGCACUUUUCAGUUUACAGGUCAACAUCAGUUUUUUUUACCGUAAAAAAGUUAAAGAAAGGUAGCUCAUGGCUCCGGUCGUGAGUGUUAUAGUCUUUUUCCUAUGCGGUAGGAGAGACUGAGGUCUGCAGUGUAGGCUAUUUGGCUAGAUACUCAGGUGCUAUGUGAUACCAUUUCAUAAACAACCUGUUGAUUAUGUUUUGUCUAUUGCAUACUCGCUUGUACUAUCAUACCUACGCUUAGGAUGUUGACUGAUAUGUAGUCGUA
rnacentral:rRNA from 1 species